GAGGACACCGAUGAGGACGACGACGACGACUCCGGUGAAGAUGAAGACGAAGACAGCUCACUGAUUCAGUUGGUCGCUGAGGUGACCUUAUAUUGAGUCAAGACACGGCAUGCAUUGAAGGUGCGGCUUCGUUUCUUUGCUCAUCAUCUUGGACGACUCGCUCUGCACCAGCCACCAUCCUCAUGUCGGCUCACAUUGGCAGUUGCAGUUUCAAAGGAAUUAAAACAACUUAAGAAAAUCCCAGUAUUUUUUGCACUCGUUCAUUUCACCUGUGCUCAAAAGUUCUACCAUUGUUAAGUCGUAUAGCCCACAAAAGAAGCGCUCUUGCGCAAAUGUGUGGCAUGCCUUGUGUCACCGUAGCG